GCUUUUCCUUUCCUUUCCUGUUCCUUAUAAUUUUCCCUCAUUUUCUUUCCAACUUUCCACUUUCCCAAACACUACAAUUUAGUCACCUUCCCCCAUCUGAACCACCAUCAACCCACCAUAUCUGUCAUUGCCAUGUCAUAGCCAUCCAAUAUUUUCCCAAACAAGCUCUAGCCAAGCUUUGCAGCAAGAAAAGAGCCUCCUUGCAAUCCAGUAAGCUGAAACUGCAAUCUCUCUCUAUCUUAGAGAUCCUGCCUCUAUACUCCUUAAGGCACUAGCUCUUGAUCUCAUGGCUCACAAUGGAUCUACCUUGAAAGCUCUCAGGCUAAUUUUUCAUUCUCGGCCCGUUGCCUCACCUCAUCAUCGCUGCAUGUGCCUAACCUUGUUGCUUCACCAUCAUUGUCAUUUGGAUUUUUCUUUUUCUUCUUUUUCCCUAUUUACUGUUAUUGCUUUGGGGAAAUUUGCUAUGUGGAAGGUGGGUUUUGUUAAUUUGUUUGAAUAGAUUGGUUUUGAAAGAUCGAAUUCCUUCUCUGUUGGUGCUACUGUUAUUGUUGGUGCUAUUAUUGUUCUUUCUUUUUACAUUGAUUUCUAUAAUGGUGGUAUUUGGGUCAAUGAAAAUUGAAAGAGAUGGGUUGAAAAGGAAAACAGAACAGGUUAUAGAAGAGAAACUUUUAGAUAGAUAUCCAGAAAUAGUAUUUAAAGGAAUUUGGAUUGUAUUAGAGUUCUG
rnacentral:misc_RNA from 1 species